rnacentral:rRNA from 1 species
AGUAAAUAGAUACCCGGGUAGUCCACGCCGUAAACGAUGUCGACUUGGAGGUUGUGCCCUUGAGGCGUGGCUUCCGGAGCUAAACGCGUUAAAGUCGACCGCCUGGGGAGUACGGCCGCAAGGUUAAAACUCAAAUGAAUUGACGGGGGCCCGCACAAGCGGUGGAGCAUGUGGUUUAAUUCGAUGCAACGCGAAGAACCUUACCUACUCUUGACAUCCAGAGAACUUAGCAGAGAUGCUUUGGUGCCUUCGGGAACUCUGAGACAGGUGCUGCAUGGCUGUCGUCAGCUCGUGUUGUGAAAUGUUGGGUUAAGUCCCGCAACGAGCGCAACCCUUAUCCUUUGUUGCCAGCGGUUAGGCCGGGAACUCAAAGGAGACUGCCAGUGAUAAACUGGAGGAAGGUGGGGAUGACGUCAAGUCAUCACGGCCCUUACGAGUAGGGCUACACACGUGCUACAAUGGCGCAUACAAAGAGAAGCGACCUCGCGAGAGCAAGCGGACCUCAUAAAGUGCGUCGUAGUCCGGAUUGGAGUCUGC